rnacentral:rRNA from 1 species
AUUGAACGCUGGCGGCAGGCCUAACACAUGCAAGUCGAGCGGAUGACGGGAGCUUGCUCCUUGAUUCAGCGGCGGACGGGUGAGUAAUGCCUAGGAAUCUGCCUGGUAGUGGGGGACAACGUUUCGAAAGGAACGCUAAUACCGCAUACGUCCUACGGGAGAAAGCAGGGGACCUUCGGGCCUCGCGCUAUCAGAUGAGCCUAGGUCGGAUUAGCUAGUUGGUGGGGUAAUGGCUCACCAAGGCGACGAUCCGUAACUGGUCUGAGAGGAUGAUCAGUCACACUGGAACUGAGACACGGUCCAGACUCCUACGGGAGGCAGCAGUGGGGAAUAUUGGACAAUGGACGAAAGCCUGAUCCAGCCAUGCCGCGUGUGUGAAGAAGGUCUUCGGAUUGUAAAGCACUUUAAGUUGGGAGGAAGGGCAGUAAGUUAAUACCUUGCUGUUUUGACGUUACCGACAGAAUAAGCACCGGCUAACUCUGUGCCAGCAGCCGCCGUAA